AUUGAACGCUGGCGGCAGGCUUAACACAUGCAAGUCGAGCGGGGAAAGGUAGCUUGCUACCUGACCUAGCGGCGGACGGGUGAGUAAUGCUUAGGAAUCUGCCUAUUAGUGGGGGACAACAUCUCGAAAGGGAUGCUAAUACCGCAUACGUCCUACGGGAGAAAGCAGGGGACCUUCGGGCCUUGCGCUAAUAGAUGAGCCUAAGUCGGAUUAGCUAGUUGGUGGGGUAAAGGCCUACCAAGGCGACGAUCUGUAGCGGGUCUGAGAGGAUGAUCCGCCACACUGGGACUGAGACACGGCCCAGACUCCUACGGGAGGCAGCAGUGGGGAAUAUUGGACAAUGGGGGGAACCCUGAUCCAGCCAUGCCGCGGGUGUGAAGAAGGCCUUUUGGUUGUAAAGCACUUUAAGCGAGGAGGAGGCUACCGAGAUUAAUACUCUUGGAUAGUGGACAUUACUCGCAGAAUAAGCACCGGCUAACUCUGUG
rnacentral:rRNA from 1 species